rnacentral:tRNA from 1 species
GGUCGCAUGGUGUAGUUGGUCAUCACGUCAGUCUGACACACUGAAGGUCCUCAGCUCAACCCUGGGUGCUAUCA